rnacentral:rRNA from 1 species
UACGGGGGGGGCAAGCGUUGUUCGGAAUUACUGGGCGUAAAGGGUUCGUAGGUGGCUUGCUAAGUCAGACGUGAAAUCCCUCAGCUUAACUGGGGAACUGCGUCUGAGACUGGUGAGCUUGAGUGCAGGAGAGGAACGCGGAAUUCCAGGUGUAGCGGUGAAAUGCGUAGAUAUCUGGAGGAACACCGGUGGCGAAGGCGGCAUCCUGGACCGGCAUUGACGCUGAGGCGCGAAAGCUAGGGGAGCAAACGGGG